rnacentral:rRNA from 1 species
CUCGGCCGAUCCUCCCACCCUUUGUGUACCUACCUCUGUUGCUUUGGCGGGCCGCGGUCCUCCGCGGCCGCCCCCCUCCCCGGGGGGUGGCCAGCGCCCGCCAGAGGACCAUCAAACUCCAGUCAGUAAACGAUGCAGUCUGAAAAACAUUUAAUAAACUAAAACUUUCAACAACGGAUCUCUUGGUUCUGGCAUCGAUGAAGAACGCAGCGAAAUGCGAUAAGUAAUGUGAAUUGCAGAAUUCAGUGAAUCAUCGAAUCUUUGAACGCACAUUGCGCCCUUUGGUAUUCCGAAGGGCAUGCCUGUUCGAGCGUCAUUACAACCCUCAAGCUCUGCUUGGUAUUGGGCACCGUCCUUUGCGGGCGCGCCUCAAAGACCUCGGCGGUGGCGUCUUGCCUCAAGCGUAGUAGAACAUACAUCUCGCUUCGGAGCGCAGGGCGUCGCCCGCCGGACGAACCUUCUGAACUUUUCUCAAGGUUGACCUCGGAUCAAGGUAGGGAUACCCGCUGAACUUAAGCAUAUCAAUAA